GAUGAACGCUGGCGGCGUGCCUAAUACAUGCAAGUCGAGCGAACAGACGAGGAUCUUGCUUCGCUGACGUUAGCGACGGACGAGUGAUUAACACGUGGAUAACCGACCUAGAAGACUAGGAUAACUUCGCGGGACCUGAUCUCAUAUCGGAUCAGAGGGUGAACCGGAGGGUUCAAUAGUGAAAAAGGUUUUUGCUGUCACUAAGUGAUGGAUCCGCGCCGCAUUAGCUAGUUGGUAAGGUAACGGCUUACCAAGGCGACGAUGCGUAGCCGAUCUGAGAGGAUGAUCAGCCACACUGGAACUGAGACACGGUCCAGACUCCUACGGGAGGCAGCAGUAGGGAAUAUUCCGCAAUGGGCGAAAGCCUGACCGAGCCAUGCCGCGUGAGUGAUGAAGGUCUUCGGAUCGUAAAACUCUGUUAUUAGGGAAGAACAACUGUAUAUGUAUAUCUGCCUGUCUUGACGGUACCUAAACAGUAAGCAACGGCUAACUACGUG
rnacentral:rRNA from 1 species